rnacentral:rRNA from 1 species
GAUGAACGCUGGCGGCGUGCCUAAUACAUGCAAGUCGAGCGAACGGACGAGAAGCUUGCUUCUCUGAUGUUAGCGGCGGACGGGUGAGUAACACGUGGAUAACCUACCUAUAAGACUGGGAUAACUUCGGGAAACCGGAGCUAAUACCGGAUAAUAUUUUGAACCGCAUGGUUCAAAAGUGAAAGACGGUCUUGCUGUCACUUAUAGAUGGAUCCGCGCUGCAUUAGCUAGUUGGUAAGGUAACGGCUUACCAAGGCAACGAUGCAUAGCCGACCUGAGAGGGUGAUCGGCCACACUGGAACUGAGACACGGUCCAGACUCCUACGGGAGGCAGCAGUAGGGAAUCUUCCGCAAUGGGCGAAAGCCUGACGGAGCAACGCCGCGUGAGUGAUGAAGGUCUUCGGAUCGUAAAACUCUGUUAUUAGGGAAGUACAUAUGUGUAAGUAACUGUGCACAUCUUGACGGUACCUAAUCAGAAAGCCACGGCUAACUACGUGCCAGCAGCCGCGGUAAUACGUAGGUGGCAAGCGUUAUCCGGAAUUAUUGGGCGUAAAGCGCGCGUAGGCGGUUUUUUAGUCUGAUGUGAAAGCCCACGGCUCAACUGUGGAGGGUCAUUGGAAACUGGAAAACUUGAGUGCAGAAGAGGAAAGUGGAAUUCCAUGUGUAGCGGUGAAAUGCGCAGAGAUAUGGAGGAACACCAGUGGCGAAGGCGACUUUCUGGUCUGUAACUGACGCUGAUGUGCGAAAGCGUGGGGAUCAAACAGGAUUAGAUACCCUGGUAGUCCACGCCGUAAACGAUGAGUGCUAAGUGUUAGGGGGUUUCCGCCCCUUAGUGCUGCAGCUAACGCAUUAAGCACUCCGCCUGGGGAGUACGACCGCAAGGUUGAAACUCAAAGGAAUUGACGGGGACCCGCACAAGCGGUGGAGCAUGUGGUUUAAUUCGAAGCAACGCGAAGAACCUUACCAAAUCUUGACAUCCUUUGACAACUCUAGAGAUAGAGCCUUCCCCUUCGGGGGACAAAGUGACAGGUGGUGCAUGGUUGUCGUCAGCUCGUGUCGUGAGAUGUUGGGUUAAGUCCCGCAACGAGCGCAACCCUUAAGCUUAGUUGCCAUCAUUAAGUUGGGCACUCUAAGUUGACUGCCGGUGACAAACCGGAGGAAGGUGGGGAUGACGUCAAAUCAUCAUGCCCCUUAUGAUUUGGGCUACGCACGUGCUACAAUGGACAAUACAAAGGGCAGCGAAACCGCGAGGUCAAGCAAAUCCCAUAAAGUUGUUCUCAGUUCGGAUUGUAGUCUGCAACUCGACUACAUGAAGCUGGAAUCGCUAGUAAUCGUAGAUCAGCAUGCUACGGUGAAUACGUUCCCGGGUCU